rnacentral:rRNA from 1 species
GUGGUCAAGUUGUCAAGGGCGAACGGUGGAUGCCUUGGCACCAGGAGCCGAUGAAGGACGUGGGAGGCCGCGAUAGGCCUGGGGGAGCUGUCAACCAAGCUGUGAUCCCAGGGUGUCCGAAUGGGGAAACCCGGCACCAGUCAUGUGGUGUCACCCGCACCUGAACACAUAGGGUGUGUGGGGGGAACGCGGGGAAGUGAAACAUCUCAGUACCCGUAGGAAGAGAAAACAAAUAGUGAUUCCGUGAGUAGUGGCGAGCGAAAGCGGAUUGAGGCUAAACCGGCUGCGUGUGAUACCUGUCAGGGGUUGCGUGGUCGGGGUUGUGGGACCCUGCUGAACAAGCUGACACUUGUUCGAGGAGUUAUAAAGUCAGUGGCUAGCCGAACAGUCUGGAAUGGCUGACCGUAGGCGGUGAGAGUCCGGUAGGUGAAAGUUGCUGACCUUCUGUGGGUGUUCCCGAGUAGCGGCGGACCCCUGAAAUCUGCCGUGAAUCUGCCAGGACCACCUGGUAAGCCUAAAUACUUCCUGGUGACCGAUAGCGGACGAGUACCGUGAGGGAAUGGUGAAAAGUACCCCGGGAGGGGAGUGAAAUAGUACCUGAAACCGUUCGCCUACAAUCCGUCGGAGCCUUGCGGGGUGACGGCGUGCCUUUUGAAGAAUGAGCCUGCGAGUUAGUGGCAUGUGGCGAGGUUAACCCGUGUGGGGGAGCCGUAGCGAAAGCGAGUCUGAAUAGGGCGAUCGAGUCGCAUGUCCUAGACCCGAAGCGGAGUGAUCUAGCCAUGGGCAGGCUGAAGCGCGGGUAAGACCGCGUGGAGGGCCGAACCCACCAACGUUGAAAAGUUGGGGGAUGACCUGUGGUUAGGGGUGAAAGGCCAAUCAAACUCCGUGAUAGCUGGUUCUCCCCGAAAUGCAUUUAGGUGCAGCGUCGCGUGUUUCUUGCCGGAGGUAGAGCACUGGAUGGUCUAGGGGGCCCACAAGCUUACCGAAAUCAGCCAAACUCCGAAUGCCGGUAAGUGAGAGCGCGGCAGUGAGACUGCGGGGGAUAAGCUUCGUAGUCGAGAGGGAAACAGCCCAGAUCACCAGCUAAGGCCCCUAAGCGUGUGCUAAGUGGAAAAGGAUGUGGGGUCGCAUAGACAACCAGGAGGUUGGCUUAGAAGCAGCCACCCUUUAAAGAGUGCGUAAUAGCUCACUGGUCAAGUGGUUCCGCGCCGACAAUGUAGCGGGGCUCAAGCACACCGCCGAAGCUGUGGCACUCACAUAUUGACUUCGCCCGGCCUUGAUGUCGGGUGCAGGUGUGUGGGUGGGUAGGGGAGCGUCGUGCCGGGGGUGAAGCAACGGGGUGACCUAGUUGUGGACGCGGCACGAGUGAGAAUGCAGGCAUGAGUAGCGAAAGAAGGGUGAGAAACCCUUCCGCCGGAUGACCAAGGGUUCCAGGGCCAGGCUAAUCCGCCCUGGGUGAGUCGGGACCUAAGGCGAGGCCGAGAGGCGUAGUCGAUGGACAACGGGUUGAUAUUCCCGUACCCGCGAAAGAGCGUCCCUGAUGAACCUCGUUGUGCUAACCAUCCGAACCGGCUGAGACCUUCGGGUUGAGGUUGGGGAGCGUGGGAACCUGGCGGGUAGUAGUCAAGCGAUGGGGUGACGCAGGAAGGUAGCUGAUCCCGGCCGGUGGUUGUGCCGGGGUAAGCGUGUAGGCCGUGUUGUAGGCAAAUCCGCAACACAUGAAGGCUGAGACGUGAUGCCGAGCCGAUUCAGGUGAAGUCAGUGAUCCUAUGCUGCCGAGAAAAGCCUCUAGCGAGUUCUGAGCGGCCCGUACCCCAAACCGACACAGGUGGUCAGGUAGAGAAUACCGAGGCGAUCGGGCGAACUGUGGUUAAGGAACUCGGCAAAUUGCCCCCGUAACUUAGGGAGAAGGGGGGCCGGAGACGUGAAGCCCCGCGCGGGUGGAGCGUUGUAUGGCCGCAGAGAGCAGGGGGAAGCGACUGUUUACUAAAAACACAGGUCCAUGCGAAGAAGUAAUUCGAUGUAUAUGGACUGACGCCUGCCCGGUGCUGGAACGUUAAGGGGACCUGUUAGCUCUUCGGGGCGAAGCGGAGAACUUAAGCGCCAGUAAACGGCGGUGGUAACUAUAACCAUCCUAAGGUAGCGAAAUUCCUUGUCGGGUAAGUUCCGACCUGCACGAAUGGCG